UUAUGAGAUUCACGUUGCAAUAAUUAAACUAAGUCAAGCCAUUCUGAGACUAUUCAAUACAAAUAUUAGUUUUCAUUUUCACUACCAACAAGAAAUUGAUCUCAUAAACUAUAUAAGAAUUACAGAAGUAAUAUGGAUUAAUUUUCUGCAAUUUAUGUUCUCUUGACUUAUCAUCUAUAUAUUGUUUGCAUGAGCUGUAGGAAAUCAAAAUAAGAAAUACAAAUCAAUGUAAAUUCCCCUAAUCAAGCAAUCAAGCAUGAUACUAGGCAUCAAUUAUCUAUAGGCAAAAAUAGAUUGCUGAAUCUCCCUAUUUAUAUAUAUCCAACUCAAUGCAAUGUAAUAUAUCGAAAAAUGAAGGAAAAGACUUACCUCUGAAACAUGGUAUCAAAGCAGAAAACCGAUCUAGGGCACCCUCUUUAUCAAAAAUCUAUAUUCUUCCUCUUGUAAACAUUUUCUCAAACACAUGGCUGACAUAGGAGUUAUCACCAACGUAAGAGAUAAUACACCCAACCUUGAGGCUCUCUUCCAAGAAUUCACACAAAAGAUGGCAGAAACAUUAUCUAAAACCCAAAAUUCAAAACCAAACACCGAAAAUUCAACUCCAAUCUGCAUCAUAUUAGAUGGAUCAGACUAUCCCUUGUGGCCCCAAGUUAUGGAGAUGUACAUCUCCAGGAAAGAUAAGUUGGGCUACUUGAACGGUGACAUUUCACCACCUGCAGAGACUGACCAUGGCUUACGAAAGUGGCGAACAAAACCAUUCUCUUCCAUAGAACAGGCCUACACCCACGUUCACAGGGAGGCGCUCUGACAGUCGGUGAUGACCUCCACCGACGUCACCAGUUCCAUCGGAGCAAUUUUGGCUGCCAAAGGAGUGAAGAAGGGACCGGCCACAAAUUCUUCUAACGGGCAGCUUCGUAUGGGCCACAGCAAGUCACACGGCCCAAAGGAGAAAAUUAUCAAUGAAGGGACUAAAUGUUCCUAUUGUGGAAAUUUAAGGCACGCGCGUGAGAAUUGCUUUAAACUUAAUGGAUACCCGGACUGGUGGCAUG
rnacentral:lncRNA from 1 species